UCUGCUUGAAUUCAAGUACACCCCCUCAUCCUCAGGACAAGAGGAUGGACGCUUUAACAUACACCGCUCCGCCACAGAUCCGCCGUUCAGUGUGUUUACAGGAGGAUGAAUGAAGAGGCUGGUGGUGCAGCAGCGUGCGGACGCGCAGCGUGUUACCGGUUGUGCUCGUGUCGUUAGUGUUAUCAUUAUUAACAGUGUGUUACUGGUUUGACUGGCAGACGACACACUGGAAAAGCACCGAGGCGAGACAAAAACCCGACUUUCCAGCAUCCAUUUGAACACGGUCUCCCUGGUCUACUUUAUAAUCAGAAGAUGCUGCUUAAACAAACCUAAACAUAGCUGAGUUAACACAGGGUGGGACCACAUAAUCUGCUCUCUGAAGGAUAGAAGUUGAUGAAUACUAACUGUAUGAGGGCCCUCAGCUUCUCCCACAGCUGUGUGCUGUGCUUGUGAAUCUUUUUGAGCUGGGAAGUGAAGAGCCAUGGGCUGUGGGGGCAGCAGAACUGACGCUUUGGAGCCUCGCUACCUGGAGAGCUGGACAAAAGAGACUGAGUCGACAUGGCUGACGAGCACAGACACAGAUAUCCCCUUGUCAUCCAUCCAGAGCAUCCCCUCUGAGAACUCAGAGGCUGGCUUCACUUCUGAGAAAACAAUCAGCCCUGCGGAGUGGACCAUCUCUUCAUGUCAAGGGCUGUGCUGAUGGCAUGCCUGAUUUCAACAAGAAUCCAUUAUGCAGAAGAAAGAAAACAGAAACAUGAGUGACAGAGGAAGUAUCCACUUUAGAGACCUUUGUUCUUCUAGUGUGCAGUUAGUUGUAUGUGUCUCUACAUACAGGUCAGGACAUCAGAAACAGAUAAAUCUCUUAGAUGGAUCCUCUUCUUUUCUUUGAAGCCAAGGCGAGAUGAGUCAGUAAAUGGGGAUGUUAGGCUGCUUCAAAAGCCACUGUGCUCAAACAGGGCUCAGCUCUCAUGGCAACAGAUACAGGCAUGAGUGAAUGCAGGGAGAGGAGCCUUGAUGUAAUUGUGAAGGCAAAUUGACUUGAUCUUCAAUCAUUACACACAUGAUCACACAUUAACGAGGAGAUGAGGUGUACACACAUCUGUAAAAUGCAAACAUCGACUACCUGCGAAUAACUGAUCACAGCUCACGCCUCCACAGUACCAUCAAGUUGGUUCAGUGUAACACAACUAAGUUGUCAAUAUGUAAUCGCUACUGUUUCAUUUACCAAUGACUCCUAAUAGAAGCUAAUUGUGGCAUAGCGGUUAUCUUAUCAAGCUGAAAUUGAUAAACUUCAAGAGAAAAAAAAGAAAAUUCAUAGAAAUGUAUAAAAGCUACAAACACAUAAGUAAAGACAGCUGUCUUAGUCGCACCAGCAGACACAGCUGAACGUCUACAUCUUUACAGUUCCAGAUUUCUUUGAAGACGGCCUCCCGCCACCGGCUCAGGCCUACCUAAAGGUCUGCUCGGCCAUGUCUGAAGCCAGCCUGAACGAUGUGAAGCCCAGCAGCACACCAACAGCACUGGGCUCUCCGCAGCAGGACACGACGAUGCCUUCUUCUGGAACCACAGUGCAGCGCAGAAGUGUUCUGCACACUGAAGAGAUCACAAAAUGGCAGGACAAUCGGAUGUCGACCAAGCAGGUGACCAUUACAGUCACCCAGAGCAUCCACCAGGUGGACAAGAACGGGAAGGUGAAGAAGUCCCUCACGACAUAUGAGGUCAUGAAACCAGUGGAAGCUAUCAAACAGGUGGCAACACAAAACACCUGAGUGGAGGGGACAUUGGAAAAAGCCAAAAAAUGACAAUAAUCAUGACUGUGAAAGAAAUCGAACAGGUUUUGUGGUCUGACAAGUGUCGAAAGCACAAAAAUUAGAUUUCUAGUGUAUUUAAUACUGUACGAUGUAUGUUUCACUGACAUGUUGGAGACUUUUACAAGAGACAUUUGAUCAAACAAGCAUGGGUUAACAGGCAAAACAAAACGUGGUAUGUUACAGCGAAUGUCAUAUUAAAAGCGAUUGUAGUCUAUUACAGCUGACAGCUUGUUUCCACAUCAGUGUAAAGAAAUCAUUGCUUAGCACUGAACUCGAAAAUAGUUUAAUCCAGAGUAUUUUCACAUUUUAAGAUGUAUUUAAACAUGAACAUAGGUGUAAAACAAUUACUGCAGUAUUAUUUAAUAUGAUAUAAA